rnacentral:lncRNA from 1 species
GAAAAACUGAAAGGUCAGAAGACUGACAAGGAUGGGAAUGGAGACUUAAGGGCAAAGCCAAUAUCCUGGCCCAGCCUCAGGGGCCAGUUAGCCUGAGACCAGAGGGCUUCAGGGAUAGCCACCAAAGUGAAACCUGGAAAGUUCUCAGCAAAUUAGAGGCACAGAUGGAGAUGGUGGAGUUCUCCACACAUUUCUGAGAUGGUCCCAUGAUUCCAUGACUAGUUAGUUCUGUUAGUGGUGGUCUGGAUUUUCAGCAAACCAGGUCUCUGUGUGAGAGACUGAGACCAGAGAAGUAAUGCCAGGAGAUGAUGGAGAGGAGACGACAAUCCAAAGAGGCAGCAGAAGGGAGGUUUUGGGUCUUUCUAUACUCUCCUUAUGUGGUAAUUGCAGGAAGCCUAACAAGCUAAGGUAAGCUGUCUGACUGCACAUUCACUUAAAGCAUGG